UUCCUAGUGAAUUAUAUAAUUGUAUGACCAAUCUGUAUUAAGCUUUAUUUGGAUUGCCUUUGGGCAAACUUAAGCGGUUGAAUAAUGCGAUUAAUAAAGAUUCAAUAUCCUUUUCUUGAAAAGAUACCUCUUUGUAGAGAAAGAAAAUCUUGCGGUAUUGAGCAUACUGAAUUUAUAGAGGUGGUGAAUCUCUUCAUAAGCUCUUUUAUCUGUAACCUAGAAUUUAUUAGCUAAAGGAUUAUUAGUUAGAUUUGUGUAUUGUGAAUGAAAGAUGAAAAGAAUACCGAAAGGUAGGUGAAAAGAACUAUAAACCCAAGACCCAUCAUUACCCUAAAUUAUAACUGCUUGUAGAAGAAAGAAUUAUCGAAUUUCAAGUUUAUCCUUCAGGUGUAUCUGAUACUCUACCCUUAAAGCCCGAAUGCUAGCGAUCUAACUAUCACAUUAUGAAAGUUGAGUCUAUUAAAGAUUAAAAUGCUCAGAGAUACACACCUGCCAUCCAAGCAAUAGUUAGCAGUUAAAUGUUAUACGAGCCAAUGUUAAUAUCUGGAUCUGUUCAAAAGAAAUAAUGCUGUCUAAUAAACAUCUUGUUCUUACUUGUAAAAUGAUCAGCUCAUUAAUCCAUGGAAAUAAGAUUCACCCAAAACUAUCCAUCAUUCGCAAUCUCGUUAAGAUGGGUAUUCACUUGUGUAACAAAUGGGAAAAGCCCAAAUAAGUAGCUAAAGUAAUGAYUUAAAUCAAAUUAUUAGCCCAUAUAGUCUUAAAUUACUCAAAAGUAGGAUUAAUAGGAUCCAUCUUUUCAAAAGUGUGUAGCAUCUUAUGAGCUAAAUUAUCCUUCGAGUCCACCAGGUAUUCCAAAUAAAGCCCUUACUGAAGCUCUAAAUGUCGAGAUAGAAUAAGAUCCUGGUCUUCCAAAAUGGCAAUUUAAGUAAUUUAAAUUAACAAAAACCUAAUUGUAUAUCCAGCAAGAUGUUCUCUCCUCUGUCAAUCACAUUACACAAGAAACAAGCCCUCAAGCAAGAUCUUUCCGUGAUAUAGCUGAAGGUUAGUUAGGUUCUUUUGUUAGAUAAAUGCCUUGUACACAUUAAAACAGCUUGGUCAUUACAAAUAAUUCUACAAGUCCAUAAUAAGUUAGCUCCAAGAACUUGACUCAUAAGUUGUUUAACUUAGGGAUAACAAUAAUAUUUAUCAACCGACUGUAUAGCAAAUACACAAGUUUUAGUUAAAGAUGUCUAGAAUUUAGAGCUGAUAUGUGACCAGUGCUUGUAUUAUUAUCCGAAACGUUGGCCGUAACUAUAACGGUCCUAAGGUAGCAAAUUUCCUUGUCGUCCUAAUAACGACCUGCAUGAAACAUAGAACGAUUCGAUAGCUGUCUUGCACACACAUCAUGGUAAAAUAUUCAUCAGUACGAAUAAUAUGCUGACUAAAGUUUAUUAACACUAAAGGACAAAAAGACCCUCUGAAGCUUUAUAGGGAUAAAACUUGGGUAACAUUCUCAAUACAAAUAUUCUUAUUGCAUGCCAGCUAAAGUAGUAAAUUAUUGGUUUUCUCCUAAGACCACUGUUUAAUUGGGGCGAUAACCUUAUCAACAGCCACCUAAGGUGAACAAAGCGAUACAAGGAUCCUAAACUUUUGACCAACUAAUAAGUGUAAAGAUACAUGUUUCGCUUAAUGGCCCAACAAGUCUUUCCCAGUACUUAAAUGCUAUCUUAAUGAGCUUUAAAUUAAUUUACCCGAGUUAAGCUACUCUACGGAUAACAGGCUUAAUUUCCGCAAUAUUAAAGGUCACAUUAUCACGAAAAAUGUACCUCGAUGUCGGCUUAUCAUUACUAAAAUAGGUAGCUUAAUUAUUGGUGGGAGUGCUCAUCCCGUAAAUUGGUUCGUGAGCUGGGUUCAAAACGAUGUAAAUCAGUUUGGUCUAUAUCUUUAAUUAUAUCACACAAGAAAUGCACUAUUUUCUCAGUACGCAAGGACCAGAAAGAUUAAGCUAAAGCUGAAUUUAACAAUAUAGUGGUAUCACUGUUUUAAGAUAAGUGAUUUGCAGCAUUCUUCCUGCAAACUCAUUUUAUCGACUUAAUUUGGCCAAAAAGUGAGCAAAAUAUAAAUUGAUGAGUUUUUAAAAUAAUUUUGGCCACAAAAUUAUAUGCACACCGAAGGGGUGCAUUAGAGGGCCCGCAGGAGCCCGCAAAGAAAAACCACGAAGUGGAACCKAGAAAAGGCUGCCGCUAAUUUUUGCCUAGAUCACGAUAUUUUUGGCCAAAAUUGCGACAUGUGCCCCAACCCGAAGGGUUGGGUCCUCGCGCACACGCGCACACGUAUUAAAAAGAUCGCGACUUAUAAUGUGCACCCCGAAGGGGUGCACAUAUGGGGCACCCUUUAGGGUGCCCCAUUAUAAUGGGUGCCCUUUAGGGCACCCAUAUGCACCCCUGAAGGGGUGCAUUAUAGGAGCCGGGAACGAGCCGAAAGGCGAGUGGACGUGCGACCACGAAAAAGAAAAAGAAAUCGCGACCUAUAAUGGGUGCCCCACAGGGGCACCCAUAUGCAUGCCCCCACAGGGGGCAUGCAUUAAUGGGGUGGGUGCCCUACCCACCCCAUAUGGGCCCACACUUCGUGGGGCCCAUAACGCCCUUCGGGCUUCAAAAAAUAAAAGGUAAAUUUAACCAAGUAAAACGAAGUGAAAGCAAUUUAGGCCAGAAUUAACGUGAAGUAGGCCAAUAUGUGCGGGUGUAUCUGCGAUGUUAACCUGCGAUAUGUGCCCCUCACCCUACUCCUCUCCUCUCGAAGUGAAGAUUGUGGCCAAAAUUAACUCCAACUCCAACAUCAAACCACUAAUUGUUGAUAU
rnacentral:rRNA from 1 species